rnacentral:rRNA from 1 species
AUGGCUAAAUUGAUGGAUUCUGGUGAGGGAGGAACGGUUCUGAGAGAUCAUCAAGGUGCGUUCUGUGCAGGGGUGUGCCACUUCUUCCCCUCCGCUUUUGAUCUGGAGAUGGCGGAGCUUUUGGCGUGCCGUCGAGCAAUACAGUUAGCAGGGGAAGAAAAUGUUCAGAGGCUUGUUUUGGAGACAGGUUCCCAAGCAGUAGUCAGCAAGCUCCAGAACCAUGGGACGAAUUUCUCAGUUUUUGGUCAUUUCAUAAAUGAGAUCAAAGCUCUACUUCUUUCCUUCCAGGAUGGUAAGGUGAGCUGA